rnacentral:rRNA from 1 species
GAUGAACGCUGGCGGCGUGCUUAACACAUGCAAGUCGAACGAAGCAUUUGCGACAGAUUUUUUCAGAAUGAAGUUGCUUAUGACUGAGUGGCGGACGGGUGAGUAACGCGUGGGUAACCUGCCUUGUACUGGGGGAUAGCAGCUGGAAACGGCUGGUAAUACCGCAUAAGCGCACAAUGUUGCAUGACAUGGUGUGAAAAACUCCGGUGGUAUAAGAUGGACCCGCGUCUGAUUAGCUAGUUGGUGAGAUAACAGCCCACCAAGGCGACGAUCAGUAGCCGACCUGAGAGGGUGACCGGCCACAUUGGGACUGAGACACGGCCCAGACUCCUACGGGAGGCAGCAGUGGGGAAUAUUGCACAAUGGAGGAAACUCUGAUGCAGCGACGCCGCGUGAGUGAAGAAGUAAUUCGUUAUGUAAAGCUCUAUCAGCAGGGAAGAUAGUGACGGUACCUGACUAAGAAGCUCCGGCUAAAUACGUG